AUGGGCCGUCCUAGCCGUGUCCUGGCCAUCAUUUUUGUCCUCCAUUUCAUUCUAUCCAUGGCCAGUCCAUCCCUUUCUUGCGUUAUUCCUUGCGAGUCUGAGAUAAACUUGCGCUUAUACUUGCACCAAAUCGCUGCUGGAUCGGGCACCAACCAGGUAGCAAUUGUUCCCUCCAGCCAACCAGCUGGGUUCGGCACGACCGCUGUUAACGACUGGACUGUGAUUGAUGGACCAAACCCCGGUACUGCCACCAUUGUUGCCCGCACCAAAGGCAUGCAUGUGCAGGCUGAUGUAGGCGGUCCAGGCUGGUUCAACUACUUCAGCAUGGUGUUUGAGGACGCCAGGCGCCGUGGAUCGUCAUUUGAAGUAAUGGGGAUGAACAGAGCUCAAGAAGGCGAGAUGGCCAUUAUUGGUGGGACUGGAGAGUUUGCUAUGGCACGUGGGACCAUCAAGUAUAGAGCACUCGCCAACCCUCCUCCGGGUCAAAGUAUUAAAGAACUCAACAUUCAUGCAUUCUACGUCAAACCAGCUGGCACUAUAGCUGGCCCCACAAUCCAGUGA
rnacentral:rRNA from 1 species